AAUAAGGAGGUUAGCGCCAUCUAUGACUUAACAGCGUUACUAAGCUCUCACCACGGGGGUUCAGUGAAAAGUUUCUCGUCUGGUGAUUUUAGAAGUCCUUCACCAGCAGGAACAACACUUGACAGGGAACCCAGAUGAAAAUAAUCGCCUGGGGCAUCGGGUGUAAACAGUCAUUUCAACCCUCUGCUGCCUGGGCUUGGUCAACAGUCUCAACACUGAUACUUGGUGUAUACCUAAGUACAGUUCAGUACGGACAGCUGCUCUCACGUCCACAAAAAAAUUAAAAUUACACCAUAUCAUAGAAGCUUCAAGGACCAACAACACAUCUCAUUAUGACUAGUUCAGAGUCAACUACAGUACACAGACACUCCAGGCUCCUAUAUGAUGCCAUUAAAGGCAACUGGUUAAACAUUGCUGACCUGUGGAAGAGGCUGUGGACUGGUCUUUGAACAGUAUAGGUGACUUGUACAGGUCAAGCUUACCCCUCCUGACCUGACCUUCACUCACAGACUCGUCUCAGGAAAACUGUUUGAACUAUUUUCACUUUUCUAGUAAUGUUUUAAUCUCAUUUUGUUUUAUAUACCGUAUGUAUUAUGGUGUGAGUUAUGUCUGCAUUGCCUUGGGGUACUGUACUGCCAUCCCACUUGCACGAUCGUCUGUUUUAUGUGACUUUUACCAUCUUAGUUAAAUGAUCAGCUUAGGUUAAGUUAGGUUACGUUGGGUUGGGUUAUGUUAUGUUAUGUUAUGUAUCUGUCUAUCAUCUUUAUUGUGGGAAUAUAGAAAUGCCUGUCUUCCAUCAGUUCAUGCGGCCAUUUUAGUGCUGCUCCGUGGAUUCUCCCUCAAGUUCAAGAUUAUCAGUAUUUUAAUGAAAGGAAGGACUUACUCCUUCCCUGUGUGGUUCAUCCUCUCACAGGGGGACUGUCUUUGUUUACACCUACAUCAGUCAUGUUGAGAGCCUUCACAAAAAUAACACCUUCUAGAGACCCCCAAUUUUUGGACAGCUGCAGACACAGGUUCCUCUGAAGAAUCAACAGUCCCAGAAAUAAAUGCUGCAUAGUUUACUAGAGAUGAUCCUUGUACAUAGGACUCAGAAUUCCUCUGAGAGAGAUCCAGUGCCCUAGCUUGGUCAAAGGCUGUCUGUAGAUCCAGACUCUUAUUUUCUAGGAGGUGCUAAUGAAUCAGUGGUGUCAUGAGUCAUUGAUGAAAGUCUCUUAUAUAGUCAUCCUAGUUCUGUUCUGCUCUAACAGCCUUGAAGUUGUACUCCUUACGGAGCUGGUGAAGUUCCUGUGCGUAUUCAUCCAAUGUUUCACCUUGAAGUUGUACUCCUUACUGAGAUGGUGUUUCACCCUGACGUUGUCUUCUUGUGCCCAGAAGAUGUCGAGCAAAGAUUUCAUUCCUGGGCUUCACGUAGAGAUCCUGAAUAAUCUAUAUUGCAGCCUCAUAAGUGUCAUUAUCGGCUAUAUAUUUGUAUACACUAGGAGACACAAAGUUGAUGAGGGUGUUCAAUAUGUCAGGUGUGUGGAAUGCAAUGGACUAAAGGAAGCUAUAGAAUGUGUGGUACCAGUGGCACCACUUCCUAGCUGCUUCUGGUGAGUUUAGACUAGAAUCCAAUCUCUGGCUGCAGACACUUCUCCGUGGUGACUCAUGACAGUUAAGAUGAAUAAAUUGCAAUGAAACAGA